rnacentral:rRNA from 1 species
UACGGAGGUGGCAAGCAUUGCUCGGAAUUACUGGGCGUAAAGGGCGCGUAGGCGGCCACCGCAAGUCGGUUGUGAAAUCUCUGGGCUUAACCCAGAAAGGUCAACCGAUACUGCGGGGCUAGAGUGCAGAAGGGGCAACUGGAAUUCUCGGUGUAGCGGUGAAAUGCGUAGAUAUCGAGAGGAACACCUGCGGCGAAGGCGGGUUGCUGGGCUGACACUGACGCUGAAGCGCGAAAGCUAGGGGAGCGAACGGG